CCUGCCCCUAGAGUCGUUACAGAUGAGACUGCUGUGUCACAUGUGUGUCAAUAGGUGGCAGAGAGAGAGGCUUGUCUACGUCCAGUGCUCUGACCUGUGAGCCACUGGGUGAUUGAUAGUCUGACACU
rnacentral:snoRNA from 1 species